rnacentral:lncRNA from 1 species
GGAAUAAUUUAUAACGAAGACAGCUAGAGUACUGGUGACUAUUCCCUUAUUUUUUUACAUUUGGAUCUAUUUUUAGUGUUAAUCUAACUUGUCUAAAAUAUGCCUUCCUACUAAAUAUAUUUUUUUCCAUUUUUAUGUAUGUUGUACUCUACAUUAUUUAUUCCUGAGUAUUUGUAAUCUGUGAUUUACUGGAUUCUCUUAUCUCUGUCUUUGCAUUUUGUAGUCUAACAUGAUAUAGGUAUUCUUAAUUAAAUUUCCUAUCUUCAAAUAUGCCUUAACACAUUUUCCUAAUCUCAAUCUCACAUCUACUAUUUAGUAAAUCUAUGCGUUAACUCUACCAGUGUAUCAUACUAUUAUUAUUGUUAUUACUGUUGUAGCAGUUGUUGCUGUCAUUGUCAUUGUUGUUAUUAUCAUUAUUAUUAUCAUUAUUAUUAUUAUUAUUAUUAUUAUUAUUAUUAUUAUUAUUAUUAUUACUAUCAUUAUAGUUAGCACUCUGGGCAAAAUGAUUAAAGGCAUUUUGCCUGGUUUUACGUUCUGAGUUCAAAUUCCGCUGAGGUCAAUUUUGCCUUUCAACUUUUUGGGGUCGAUAAAAUAAGUACCAGUUGAACACGGGGGUCAAAUGUAAUCAUUUUACCCCUUCCAUGGAAUUGCUGGCCUUGCGCCAAAAUUUGAAAUCAUCAUCAUCUUCAUCAUCAUCAUCAUCAUCAUCAUCAUCGUCAUCAGCAUCAUCAGCAUCCUGGCAGAAUUGUUAGCGCACUGGGCAAAAUGCUUAGCAGCAUUUUGUAUGUCUUUGUGUUCUGAGUUCAAAUUCUGUCAAGGUCGAUUUUGCUUUCCAUCCUUUUGGGGUUGAUAAAUUAAGUACCAGUCAAGUCCUGGGAUUGACGUGAUCAAUUGUCUCCCUCCCCACGAAAAUCCAGGCCUUUGCCUAUAGUAGAAUGGCUUAUCGUUAUUACUGUUAUUAUUAAAGGCAGUGAGCUGGCAGAAUUGUUAGCCCGCUGGACGAAAUGCUUAGCAGUAUUUUGCCUGUCGCUAUGUUCUGAGUUCAAAUUCUGUUGAGAUCAACUUUGUCUUUUAUCCUUUCUGGGUCGAUAAAUUAAGUAGUCCCCUCCCCUCAAUUUCAGGCCUUGUGCCUACAGUAGAAAGGAUUAUUACCGUUAUUAUUAUUACCAAGCGUGUGAACUGGUAGAAUCAUUAGAGCAUUCGACAAAAUGCUUUUUAUGUUCUGAGUUCAAAUAUUGCCUAAGUUGACUUUGCCUUUCAUCCUUUCGGGGUUGAUAAAGUGAAGUACCAGUUGAGCUCUAGGGUUGAUGCAAUGUACUUAUGCAACCCUUCAAUAUUGCUGGCCUUCUACCAAAACUAGAGAUCAUUAUUAUUAUUAUCACCAUCAUAAUCAUAAUCAUUAUCAUAAUCAUUUUUGCUAAUAUUGAUGUCAUAUCAUCAUCAUCAUCAUCAUCAUUGUCAUUCACACUGUUACCAUCAUUGUUAUUGCCAUUACUGUCAUCAUCAUCAUCAUCAUUAUCAUAACCAUCACUAUCAUAAAAUUCCUCAGUGAAUAUAUCAAUUCACCCAUAUCUUAUAUGAGAAGAAAUUUGCAAAGAAUGCAUCCAAAUCUUUAUAUAUAAAACUGAAGUUGUGUGAGAGUCUGUCUCCUCCGAUUUAGAUUCAUAACUACUCCCACAUUUUGCGGUGCAGUUUAACCAAAAGCGGGUAUCUUAUAGUCGUGAUUCAUAUCGAGCCCUUCUGGAUAUUAGCACGUGUCUACGCUGAGUCUAUGAUUUAAAAAAAAAUUUACCAUCAUUUUUUAGUUUUUUUAAUGCAUUUUUUUCUCGGUUUAUAUAAGGAAAGUAACUCUCAAAAAAUGCUUAUAUAGUUAUUUCCCUUACAAACCUGAGCAACGCCGGGCGAUACUGCUUGUAUAGAAUGUAAUAGCUUUCCACUACAUGUGGUAUGCCCCCGGUGGUCAACUAUCAUAGAAGAGACAUCCCUUCUUUGAUUAUGUUAAGACAGAUUCGGAAGUUUAAAUCAAAGUUUAACUCAAAUAAAUCAAUCCCAGUACUUUUUUUAAAGUCUGGUACUUAUUCUACUGUGUUUUUUUUUUUUUUUUGCCAAGCCAUUAAAUUAUGGGGACAUAAACAUACCAACACUGCUUGUCAAGUGGCACCAAGAGACAAAUGUGCACACACACACACACACACACACACACACACGCACACGCACACAUGUAUACAAUGGGUUUCUUUCAGUUUCCAUAUAUCAAAUCCACUCACAAGGCUUUGGUUAGCUGGAGGCUAUAAUAGAAAAUAUGUACCCAAUGUGCUGCACAAUGGUACUGAACUCAGAACCAUGUGGUUGGGAAGCAAUCUUGUUACCACACAGCCACGUCUGUGCCUGAGGCAAAUAAAUUAUUCUAAAUCAAACAAGGCUACACAAUUUUUAUAUAGAAAAAAAACUUUACAAUUUAAGACGUAUUCAUAGAGUCUUUAUUUUAUUUUCAUCAUAGGCGCAGGAGUGGCUGUGUGGUAAGUAGCUUGCUUACCAACCACUCCGGGUUCAGUCCCACUGCGUGGCACCUUGGGUAAGUGUCUUCUGCUACAGCCCCAGGCUGACCAAUGCCUUGUGAGUGGAUUUGGUAGAUGGAAACUGAAAGAAGCCUGUUGUAUAUAUGUAUAUAUAUAUAUAUAUAUAUGUGUGUGUGUGUGUAUAUGUUUGUGUGUCUGUGUUUGUCCCCCUAGCAUUGCUUGACAACCGAUGCUGGUGUGUUUACGUCCCCGUCACUUAGCGGUUUGGCAAAAGAGACCGUUAGGAUAAGUACUGGGCUUACAAAUAAUAAGUCCUGGGGUCAAUAAGCUCGACUAAAGGCGGUGCUCCGGCAUGGCCGCAGUCAAAUGACUGAAACAAGUAAAAGAGUAAAAGAGAGAGAGAAUAUUAAUAGUUCAUGAAUAGAGUAAGAAGGGAGAGAACUGAGAGAUUAUAUACUGAUCAAAAUUACCAGGGCAAGUCUCACUAUCUCUAUUUCAUUUAGUCUUUCAACAAGUGUUUGUUUGGAUUGUCAUCCAUCCACUUUACAAUAAGAAUUACAAUAAGGAUAAAACUCAAAUAUCGCAAUACUUUUUCAUUACCAUUCUCUGGUCAAAAUAAAGAUUCAUCUGAAUGUUUUCUUUUCUUCUUUGGAAUUUUAUUGCUAUAUAAUAACUGUUAAUGAUAAUGUUUCUGGCGUCCAACAAUAUUUAACUUCUUUUCACUGUUCCAUUACAAAUAUUUGAUGACAACUUUUGUAUUCCUGGAUUGUGGUUUCUUUCAUUUAUAAAAAUUCUAUAGAAGACAUGACUUCCUUCAAAUGAGAUCAGAAAAGAAAAAGGAGAUAUUUCACCAUUUUAGAUGGCUUCAGGCGAACCUAUGUUGUGGUUUAACAACUUCUGUUUACUAAGGCAGAUAUAGAAAUAAUCAUGCACACUCACACACAUCAUCAUCAUCAUCUUCAUUUAACAUCCGCUUUCCAUGCUAGCAUGGGUUGGACGAUUUGACUGAGGACUGGUGAACCAGAUGGCUGCACCAGGCUCCAAUCUGAUCUGGCAGUGUUUCUACAGCUGGAUGCCCUUCCUAACGCCAACAACUCUAAGAGUGUAGUGGGUGCUUUCACAUGCCAGUCAUCGAAUUUGGUUCAAUUUCGAUAUAUAUAUACGUAUAUAUAUACAUCCACAUAUAUAAUUAUUUGUGCGUGUGUGUAUAUAUAUAUAUAUAUAUAUAUAUAUAUAUAUAUAUUAUAUAUAUAUAUAUAUAUAUAUAUAUAUAUAUAUAUAUACAAUUAUAGUUUCAGCCUGCUUAGUCUUCAAGCUCAUGAGUGUCAACUCUGUUCUUGUAAAAGAAUAACAAGCAUGUACUCUACAAAAAGUAUCGACUAAACCUUCAGUUUCAUAUAAAACUGUGUUUUUAUUAUAAUUCCACAUAAAAGCAAACAUUAGCAUAUAUAUGCGUGUGUGUGUGUGUACACACACAUAUAUACAUACAUAUAUAUAUAUAUAUACUUUAUUUAAAAGCAGCAGAAAUUCAACAAAACCUGUUACUCGGAGUUUCACAUUCUCGUUCGUCGGACAGGACAGGUACGUGAAACUCUGAGUAACAGGUUUUGUUGAAUUUCUGCUGCUUUUAAAUAAAGCAUAUUACUCUACCCCUAGUAUUUGAGUACUCUUUUUUUCCACCUUGUUUCACAUUUAUGUGUUUACUCCGGUAUAUAUAUAUAUAUAUAUAUAUAUAUAUAUAUAUAUAUAUAUAAUAUAUACAUAUACAUACAUACACACACACACACAUAUAUAUAUAUAUAUUUAAAAAGUGUACAUUUAAACACAAGAGAAAACUACCUUUCAACAGGUAAUUUUUACAUGCUAGAAAUAGCACCCAACACAGCCAAAACCAUGAUUUAAUAGUAAUUUUCGAAGGGAUUGAAAAAUAAAAACUUUUACUUUGUUAUUUAUUAUCGGUUAUACUAUGGUUUCGAAACUUCUUUAGCAAACAAUAUUAUUUGCCAUCCUUUAAUAGGUAAUUUAGCAAAACAAUAUUAUUGCAAGGCAAAUUUCUCGUCAGUAACCGACCUCAAUAACUAACUUAUGAAUAUGUUGUCUAUUGACUAUUUAUACAUGUUAGACAACUGGUAGUGAUAUUUAUAACGAAUAUUCACUACCCUAUAUAUGUAUCUUAUGUAUAUAUAUAUAUAUACACGCACACACACAUAUAUAUAUUGGGUAAAAGGUAAAGACCCACUAAGAAAUUUCCCCUCUGAGGCACAAGUCUGGGCAAGAUUGUUUAUCAAAGACCAACAAUCACCCAUGCAUACCACCCUCUCCUCUCCACGCCAUCUGUGUUAUCCAAGAGAAAGGCAAAGGCUGAUACAGCUUGGCACCAGGUGAUGGCACAACUCAUUUCUACACCUGAGUGAACUGGAGCAAUGUGAAAUUAAGUGUCUUGCUCAAGAACACAACACGGAGCUUAGUCCAGGAAUCGAACUCGCUACCCCAUGAUUGUGAGCUCUAGCCUCUAACCACUGAGCCAUGUGCCUUCACAUAUGUUUGUGUAGGUGUGUGUGUGUGUGUGUAUGUGAGCACACAUGUGAAUGAAUGAGUGUGAAAACAUAUAAAGAUAUCUGUACUUUCUUAAAAUUUUCUCUCUGAAGGAUAUAAUCAAAUUUUCUCAGAAUUUCUACCAAUUAGGCUCAAUUCUAAAUUUGCACCGAACAUGUUUUCAAUUGUUUUGCAAUGGCUGUAUCAAGCAUUGUUCUUUGUCAUUGAUUUCUGUGCUCUUCGUGCUUUUUAACAGUGUGAGCAAAUUUCAUCUACAGAUGCAUGCACUUUUAUAUAUGUGUGUGUGUAUGUGUGUGUGUGUGUGUGCAUAGUGUAAGUCACUGUUAUAUGUGCAUAUAUAUAUCCAAGAUAGAAAGUGUUUGUUGGUUUAUUGCAUUAUUCAUAUACAUUUUUCAUCAUAUAUUCACAUUGCUAUAAUAUAUAUAUGUAUGUAUGUAUAUAUGUAUAUAAAUAUAUAUAUAUAUAUAUAUAUAUAUAUACAUAUAUAUACAUAUACAUACAUAUAUAUAUAUAUAUAUAUACACACACAUAUAUAUAUAUAUAUAUACACACAUAUAUAUAUACAUAUAUAUAUAUAUAUAUAUAUAUAUAUAUAUAUAUAUAUAUACAUACAUAUAUACAUAUACAUAUGUACAUUCAUAUAUGUAUGCAUAUGUAUGAAAGUAUAUAUAUAGCUAUAUCCUCAUCCUUCUCAUCAUCAUCAUCGUUUAACGUCCGCUUUCCAUGCUAGCAUGGGUUGGACGAUUUGACUGAGGACUGGCGAACCAGAUGGCUGCACCAAGCUCCAGUCAUAAUCUGGCAGUGUUUCUACAGCUGGAUGCCCUUCCUAACGCCAACCACUCCAUGAGUGUAGUGGGUGUUUUUACGUGCCACCGGCAUGAGGGCCAGUCAGGUGGUACUGGCAAUGGCCACACUCAAAUGGUGCUUUUUUAUGUGCCACCUGCACAGGAGCCAGUCCAGUGGCACUGGCAACGACCUCACUCGAAAGAUUUUCAGGUGCCAGUAAGGCGACGCUGGUAACGAUCACGCUCAAAUGGUGCUUUUUACAUGCCACCAGCAUUGAAGCCAGUUAGCCACUCUGGCAAUGAUCAAGCUCAGAUGGUGCUCUUAGCACUCCACUAGCAUGGAUGCCAGUCAUCGAAUUUGAUUUCGAUUUCAAUUUCACUUGCCUCAACAGGUCUUCCCAUGCAGAGUUUAGUGUCCAACGAAGGAAAGGUACGCAUAAGUAGGCUGGUUACACCCCUGGCAUAGGCCGCGAGGUUAUGGUCUCACUUGGCUUGCUGGGUCUUCUCAAGCACAGCAUAUUUCCAAAAGUCUCAGUCACUCAUCAUUGUCUUGGUGAGACCUAAUGUUCAUCCCAGAUCUUCUUGGAUCUACCUCUUCCACAGGUUCCCUCAACUGCUAGGGUGUGGCACUUUUUCAAACAGGUAUCGUCAUCCAUUCUCGCCACAUGACCAUACCAGCGCAGUUGUCUCUCUUGCACACUACAUCUGAUGCUUCUUAGGUCCAACUUUUCUCUCAAGGUACUUACACUCUGUCGAGUAUGCACACUGACAUUACACAACCAUCGGAUCAUACUGGCUUCAUUCCUUGAGAGCUUACACAUGUCCUCAGCAGUCACGGCCCAUGUUUCACUGCUAUGUAGCAUGGCUUUUCGUACACAUGCGUCAUACAGUCUGCCUUUUACUCUGAGUGAGAGGCCCUUUGUCACUAGCAGAGGUAAGAGCUCUCUGAACUUUGCCCAGGCUAUUCUUAUUCUAGCAGCUACACUUUCAGCACACCCAAUUCAAAAGCCAAAGAAAGAAUCAACAGAUUCUUGUCCCAGCUGACCUGGGCCCUUGGAAAGGCAGCUUCACUGUUUGAAGAGAAUUGUGAAAAUCAAACCCCAUUCAAAGGCUUCUGAUAUUGCAAAACAGCUAGAAGUUAGUCCAAGAACGUGUGUUACAUAUCUGCAUAAGCUUGGAUAUUAUGAAAGAGCCGCUAGAAGAAAACCUCUCCUUCAACCAAUUGAUAUCAUGAAAAGAAAGAAAUGCGGAGAUGCCAGAGAAAUCCAGUUCAUUUUAAGAUAGAGUGAUUUUCUCAGAUGAACCCAGAUUUGCAUUAUUUUCAGACAGUAGACUCGUUUGGGUCUGGAGGCUUCCCAAUCCAGAAUUUGAUUUGAGACAACUCCAACCAACUGUGAAACAUGGUGGUAUCUCUGUGAUGGUAUGGGGAGCUGUCACCAGUAAUGGCCGUUCUGAGCUGAUUGAAUGUGUUGGAACCAUAAACUCUGCAAAAUACAUUCAAAUACUUAAGCAAGGACUACUUCCAAUGUAUUCACAUAGUACCAUAACGAAAAAUGAGUUUUUAUUCAUGGAAAAUGGGGCUCCAUGCCAUACAGUGAAAAGGAAUCAACAAUGACUGACUGAAAAUGAGAUGAAAAAGCUUACUUGGCCCAACCAAUCUCUUGACAUGAACCCAAUUGAAAAUCUUUGGAGUAUAUGAGAUAGAGCUUUAGGAAAAACUCGACAGAAACCUUAAGCUAAAGGUGAAUUCUUUUGAUUGUUACAUGAAAAGUGGGCAGAAAUUCCACAAAGCUCAUCAGUUCAAUGCCAAAAAGACACGACACGGGGGGGGAUUUGCCAGAGCAGGGCCAAUCCAUAACAUUGCAUGACAUGUCAGAUUCGCCAGAGGGGCAGACCCAACCCAUAACAUUUCAUGACAUGUCAGAGAUUCGCCAGAGGGGCAGAGCCAGCCCAUAACAUGUUAGGGAUUUGCCAGAGGGGCAGGGCCAACCCAUAACAUUACGUGACAUGUCAGAUUUGCCAGAGGGGCAGACCCAAACCAUAACAUUACAUGACAUGUCAUUUGCCAGAGGGGCAGGACCGAUCCAUAACAUUACAUGACAUGUCGGAGAUUCGCCAGAGGGGCAGAGCAAGCCCAUAACAUUACGACAUGUCGGAUUCGCCAGAGGGGCAGGGCAAAUCCAUAACAUUACAUGACAUGUCAGGGAUUCGCCAGAGGGGCAGACUGAAUCCAUAACACGAUUGACUUCUUCCAGUUUCCAUCUACCUAAUCCACUCACAAGGCUUUGGUUGGCCUGAGGCUAUAGUAGAAGACACUUACCCAAGGUGCCAGGACUGAACCCAGAACCACGUGGUUGGGAAGCAAAUUUCUUAUCAUCACACAGCCAUGCCCACAUAAAUAUAUACUCACACAUUUGUGAUACACUUUCAGAUUUCAAAUAGAGGAUCCACCUAUAAUAACAAGUGGUUAUAUUGAUAGGAAUGAUAUACACUUAUAAUCAUCCCUGAAUGUUUGCUACCUAAACUGGUUAGGUUGUGUCUUGUAAAUUGGGGAAUAUCUGUUGCUAGAAAUAAAGGCUGAAUCAUCCAUUCAGGUUAUUGAAUUUCAUCUUACUCUAUUUUAUUUUUUAUGAAACAAUUCAGGAGUAGACAAAUAAAUUUGAAAAAAAAAAAAAAUGUAUGAAAGUAUCUAUAAAUUUCAACUAUAUAUAUAUAUAUAUCUCUUAUUAUAAAAGGCAGAUUUUAUCUGCCUCCCUUUGGGAGUUAUACAAAUCUACAAUAUAGGAUUUCUUCAAUUACAAUUUACCUAGCAUUUUUGAGAGUACAAUGCAUCGCGUCAUGCCAGGUCCAGUUUUUAAAAUUUAAACUCAAAUUAAGCAAAAUUUACAGAAAACUCACAUUCUGGUGUGUGUGUCAAAUGCUUUUCUUAGUCUGGUUUACACCACACGCAAAUGCACACACACAGUGGGCAACGAAUAAAGUGAAACUAGAUGUAAUAUUUGUUUCUCUCUAUCACGCUGAUAGAUACAUGAGUAAAAUGUAUGGGAAGCUAACACAUAAGUGUGAGUGAAAAUGUUCUUGGAAGAGAGUAAAUAGCCAGAGAUAGUUAAUCAGAUACAUUUGCAACACAUCUGUUGAAAAUAUUAUUGUUCACACACAUACAUAUACAUAUAUACAUACAGACAGACAGACAGAUAGACACACACACACACACACACAUGAUCCAGCAUGGCCACAACAUCAAGGCUGAAACAUAUAAAAGAAUAACAGAAUAUAAAUGUGUGCAUGUGUGUGAGAGAGAGAGUGUGUGUGUAUGUAUGUAUGUAUGUAUGUAUGUAUGUAUGUAUGUAUGUAUGUAUGUAUUUUUUUUUUUUUUUUUUUUUUUGUACUUGUUUCAGUCAUUUGACUGCGGCCAUGCUGGAGCACCGCCUUUAGAGUGGUGAAAGAGUACAGCAGGGAUCACCACCAUCACCUGCCGGAGCCUCGUGGAGCUUUUAGGUGUUUUCGCUCAAUAAACACACACAACGCCCGGUCUGGGAAUCGAAACCGAGAUCCUACGACCGCAAGUCCGCUGCCCUAACCACUGGGCCAUGUAUAUAUAAUAAUGCGGUUUUUUCAACAGCUUGAACUAAAAGUCAGAGGGGAAUGGGAUAAACUACUUAUAUUAACUUGCUAUAAAAGCAGGUAGUAAUUUCAUCUUGUCCUUAUUCAUAGUGCAAGUUUUGAAGAGUGCAUUUCGAUUUUAACAGCUAUUUUUUUCAAAGCUAUAUUGGAACAGCCUAGAAGACGAGCCUCAUCCUGAAAGAUCUGUAGAACUCGACAAGGACAUCCUGAAAACCCUGGUGGAACAAAAUCUCAUCGUAACUGUUGAGGAACUAGCAGAGAAGCUUGGAUUUGGUCAUUCAACCAUUCAUUGAGACCUGUGUGCUAUCGGAAAAGUCAGCAAAUUGGGUCAAUGGGUUCCUCACGAACUUUCCGAGUCUAAUUGCAUGCAGAGAGUGAAUGUAUGCUUUUCUUUGCUGUCACAUCUCACCACUACUGCGCUAUGUAUAUCUAUAUAUAUAAAACUGUAGUUGUGUGAGUGUCUGUCCCCUUCGAUUUAGAUUCCUAACUACUCCCACAUUUUGCGGUGCAGUUUAACCAAAUUCGGGUAGCUUAUAGUCGUGAUUCAUAUCGAGCCCGUCUGAGUAUUAGCGCGCGUCUACGAUGAGUCUACGAUUUUAAAAAUAAUUUAACAUAAUUUUUUAUUCCAUUUUAAUGCAUAAUUUUUCGUGUGUCGAUGGCGGCGGAGUUGGCAUCCACGCUCACACCUGCACCUGUGGGGAAGGGAGUGUAAGAAAAUCAACGUCGUAAUGCGUUGUCAAGGAGACCAGCGUUCUUUUAGAACAACGACUUCAUGGCUUGAAGACACCAAAACAGAAAUGGCUAAGAAAGCGUCUACAUGAGUCUACGAUUUAAAAAAAAAUUUACCAUCGUUUUUUUUCCAUUUUAAUGCAUUUUUUCGCUAUUAUAUAAGGGAAGUAACUCUCUAAAAAUGUCUACGAUGAGUCAACGAUUUUUCAAAAAAUUUACCAUCAUAUUUUUUCCAUUUUUAAUGCAUUUUUUGCUAUUUUUUGGCUAUAACUCUCUAAAAAUGCUUAUAUAGUUAUUUCCCUUACAAACCCGAGCAACGCCAGGCGAUACUGCUAGUGCAUGCAUAUACUGCUGUGUGUGUGUGCACAUACACACGAGUACUGUCCAAAUCUCCGACCAAUCUCUGGCAUUCAAUUGGCGUAACAAGUUAUGGGCAUUUUAAUUGGAUUUUGGAUAGAAAAUUCACAAAAAAGUCACUUCUAUUGAUUUUUUAAUGGCUUUGCAGCGUGACUGGGGAAAUGUAAAGAUGUGCACGACCACCCUUGGACAGUUUUGAAUGACCAUAGAAAGUGUGAACCCUCUAACUGAAAAAUUGUGGAUUUGCAUAAAGGACACGCACACAGACAUUUUGCCAUUUAUAUAUAUAGAGAGAUAUACAUAUAUAAAGUUAUAUAUUGUGUAUAUAUACAGAAAACUCUCUCUCUCUCUCUCUCUCCCUAUAUACAUCUAUGUAUGUAUGUAUAACUAGAGAGAGAGAGCAUGAGUAUGUGUCAUAUAGCGUACAUGCAUGCACACACACACACGAACACACCUAUGCACACGCACACACAUGUACACACAUAUGCGCGUGCACACACACACACACACACACACACACACAGUAUUCAAUGACAUAAGGUCAAUUAUGUGAAUGAUUUUAUUCCUUCAGCGUAAUCAAAAAUUCAAAUUCUAUAAAUGCUUUACCAAACCAAAUUCAAACUAAAUUCAAUGGACUGGAAUAUUUCUUUAUAUUUGUGUUUGUUCCUUUUGCCAUUAGUUCAUAGUUUGAAAUAUCAAUACCUGGUGAGUAAUUUGAAAGACCAAUUACCAUAAACAUUCAAAUAUCAACUAACGAACCAGUUAAUGUGUCUUCUGUAUAGUGUAAAUAUUACCUAUGCUAUUAAAUAUAAAUUGUUACCUUCAAAACCUUUUGUUUAACACUAACACAUGAAAUAACAUACUGUAUCUGUGCAUUGUUAUUGUUGCUUUUGUUUUUGUUUCAUCUGUUUCUGUUAUUUUGCUGUGGUUCAAAGAGAGAGAGAGAUUAUAUAUAACAUAUAUAUAUAUAUAUAUAUAUAUAUAUAUAAUAGAUGAGUGUAUUUUUACCUUGUUAACAAUUAACACGGAAAAAUAAAUAAAUAGUUACCAGGGCAGUAAAAAGGUGUUGUAACUCCUUGUUUUUUGCUAAAAUGUCUUAUUGACGAGUUUCGUUUUUUUCACUUUCCUGAGGAGAAGAUUGCAUUGUUUAUACCAUUUAUUCUUUUGAAUAGUAUCAGUGGAAUUUUCGAAACAUGUGUCGAAAGUAAAAAUAUUUGUUUACACCUGUGUUAACUCCAUUUUUUAUUCAUAUAUAUAUAUAUAUAUAUAUAUAUAUAUUUAUGAAUGUAUGCAGGUAUGAAUACACAGAAAGAGAGAUAUACAAAUGUUAUAAAUAUUUAUAUGUAUAUAUAUGUAUUUAUAUAUAUACUAGCAGUAUCGCCCGGCGUUGCUCAGGUUUGUAAGGGAAAUAACUAUAAAGCAUUUUUAGAGAUUUAUAGCCAAAAAAUAGCAAAAAAAUGGAAAAAAAUGAUGGUAAAUUUAUUUUUAAGAUUUAAAUAAAGUGGAGUUGCGUCCCCUAGACAGUUUUUGGUUUGUGUUUCUGAUUCUCGACCCCAUGUCGAAUUUAUCGAUUUUUUCAGAACUGGGGGAACUUUUCAAAAUUUUCGCUGCGUUAGUUUUGAAUUAUGACAUUGGGCUAUGUGUGUGUCAAGUUUCAUCAGAAUCGGUUGAAAGCCGUGGUCAGGGUGAGGGUACAAGCAAACAGACACACAGAAACACGCACAGACAAACUGCCGUUUAUAUAGAGAGAGAUAUAGAUAUAGGCACAGAAGUAGCUGUGUGGUAAGUAGCUUGCUUACCAACCACAUGGUUCUGGGUUCAGUUCCACUGCAUGGUACCUUGGGCAAGUUUCUUUUACUAUAGCCUAGGGUUGACCAAAGCAUUGUGAGUGGAUUUGGUAGACAGAAACUGAAAGAAGCCCAUCGUAUAU